rnacentral:rRNA from 1 species
GCGUUGUCCGGAUUUAUUGGGCGUAAAGCGCUCGCAGGCGGUCGGUCGCGUCGUGCGUGAAGGCCCUCGGCUCAACCGGGGGUGGUCGUGCGAUACGGGCGGACUGGAGGUAGGUAGGGGGACGCGGAAUUCCCGGUGUAGUGGUGGAAUGCGUAGAGAUCGGGAGGAACACCGGCGGCGAAGGCGGCGUCCUGGACCUGGCCUGACGCUCAGGAGCGAAAGCGUG